AACGAACGCUGGCGGCAUGCCUAACACAUGCAAGUCGAACGAGACCUUCGGGCCUGGUGGCGCACGGGUGCGUAACGCGUGGGAACCUGCCCUUAGGUUCGGAAUAACUCCCCGAAAGGGGUGCUAAUACCGGAUAAUGUCUUCGGACCAAAGAUUUAUCGCCUUUGGAUGGGCCCGCGUUGGAUUACCUAGUUGGUAGGGUAAAAGCCUACCAAGGCGACGAUACAUAGCUGGUCUGAGAGGAUGAUCAGCCACACUGGGACUGAGACACGGCCCAGACUACUACGGGAGGCAGCAGUGGGGAAUAUUGGACAAUGGGCGAAAGCCUGAUCCAGCAAUGCCGCGUGAGUGAUGAAGGCCUUAGGGUUGUAAAGCUCUUUUACCCGGGAUGAUAAUGACAGUACCGGGAGAAUAAGCUCCGGCUAACUCCGUG
rnacentral:rRNA from 1 species